rnacentral:pre_miRNA from 1 species
CCCACACCCAUGUGAGUAGGACCCCAAAAGAUCACCAUUAAAUUUGGCACAUAUCUCUAAAAAGUUAUUACAUAGAUGUGAGACUUGACUUUUUUAGAGAUCUGUGCCAAAUUGGAUGGUGAUCAUUUGGGGUCUUACUCACAUGAGUGUGGG